CAGGAAGGGUCAAGAUGGGGAUUCAGUUCAUGUUGAGCUGACUCCAAAUCCCAACAGUAAAAGCAGUAGGCUGUUUUAUUGGUAGCGCGCCAGUUUCUUUUACUUAUCGUCUCGACUUCCUGAUUGGAAACUCCGUGGAGCCCAGAACCGUGCUUUUGCAAUAGUCCACCACACAUACAAGACAUUAAGAAUAUUGGGGGGCUGGGGAUUUAGCUCAGUGGUAGAGCGCUUACCUAGGAAGCGCAAGGCCCCGGGUUCGGUCCCCAGCUCCGAAAAAAAAAAGAACCAAAAAAAAGAACCAAAAAAAAAAGAAUAUUGGUCAAUGUAUUUUGUUCAAGACCCUAUUUUUCAAAUUUUAUAUUUUAUAGUAUAUUUCAAGUGUGUGCAAGCCCGGGGGAGAAGACUAUCCAAGUGCCUCUGUGCCUGUCAUCCGACUCUGACAUCUGUCAGCUGUGAAUAAGCAUGAACCACCUACACCACCUCCAUCCGCAGCCCGGAUGGUUUUAAAGUCGGCUAAUGCCCAGCUGGCUGCCUAACGUGCAGCUUUUCCUGGGAUGCAUCUUCUAGGGGCGCCAGUGACCACCGCAGAGGAAAGCUUUCUGCUGUUGAUACUUCGGUGAGAUUUGAAGAGCAAGAACAUGUGGGGACCGGGAUCUAACUCAAGCUCUGGUCCCCUAGCUGUGACCUUGGACAAGCAAAACCAUUUCACUUCAGUUCUCUUUCUGUCCACCAGGGGGCGAGAGUGAGAAGUGAGGAAAACCUUCCCUUUGUGAGGUAGGAAGCCUCAGUAAGACACUUCCUAGCUGUUUGCCUUUGGUCAGCUACUUAACUUCUCUGAGCCUCCAUUUCCCCAUUCACGGAGAAGGAGACAAAUGCCUACCUCGGAAGUUGCUUGGGGAAUUAUGAAACAGUAAAAGUUUGAACAAACAACAGAUGUCAAUCAGCGAGGGUGAAUUCGAGACCAGGCCAUGUUGGGAUUUUUAAUACUCCAUUAGCCAUUUCUUCAAUAUUUCCUGCCACUUCUUUGGAAAACAGGAAAUGGAAAGUGCAGGCCUGAUCAUUACCUUAUAUAUUUUUAAACAAAGAUAUUCUUUGAGUUUCUCGUUAGCGUAAGGCAAGCAAGCCGUGUGACGUCACAGAGACCCAGGGCAUCGACGAAGUCUCCGCCCUCCCCCAUUGCCUCCUGGCUGUAACCCCAGAUCCAACCCUAAAGGAAAAACCCAUCAGGCUCAGAUCAGGAAAAGUGCCCUGAGAGGGGGAUGGGGUGUGCCAACCCCUCAGGAAACCCAGGUCACCUUAGCAAACGUCUGACCUUCAGGUACUCUGAAGAUUUCCACACAGCUUGCCUCCCACAGAGGACGCAAUUUAGAAACCCAUCCUUUCUCACUUGAGAGGCUCCUUGACAUCGAAAGCCUGUGGGGUCUCCCCGGUGGCACCCUCAUUAAGGAAACGAAAUUUAAUUGUCAUUGGGACUGAGGACCUGUGUGGGAUGCUGCUCGCAGCGCUCACUCUGCAGUGACAAAGCAGUGGAGGUUGCCAGAAGCAUGCCGGCCUGGAAGGAAGAAGGUGGCGUCUGAGGAGCAUGCCAGUGCUGAAUUACCCCAUCUGUCGCGUUAAUAACCAAUUGGUCCAGGGGGCUGGGACAUACGGUACCUAUUAGGAUCUGUCUGCACACACAUAACUAUUCAUUUCAUCUGCACAAAUGACUGCUUACUCAUGCAAAUGGCAGGCCUAAAUGCCCACAUUGGGAAAUGCAGCUAAGAAGGCACUUCCUCAACAAAGGUUAUGUUCUAACCCCAGAGAUGUCGAAGCCUAGGAGCCGCCAUGCUGUGGAUGCACUAAACCUCCUACUUGGAAGAAAGAAAGAAAGAAAGAAAGAAAGAAAGAAAGAAAGAAGGAAAGGAAGGAAGGAGAGAAAGGCUGGUCAGCACGAAGGCUCAUUGGAUUAAAGUGUUUGCAGCUAUGCCUAAUGACCUGAGUUUGAGCCCCAGGACCCACAAGGUGAAUAAAAAGAACCAAACUGUCCUCUGACCUCUACACUUGCACUGUAGUGUCCAUGUAUGCUAGCAUUCUGUCUAAGCUCCACCCCCACAGUUACCUGGCAACAGCCAGGUGUGCCCGACACUAAAAGGGGCUGCUUGCCCCCUCCUCACUCUUGUUCCCUCCUGCUCUCUUGCUCUUCCCCUCUUCCCCUUUGUCCCUUCUCUCCCCGUUCUCCUGCUCCCUUAUCUCCACGUGCUUAUUGCAGGCCUCUUCUCUCUCUCUCUCUCUCUCUCUCUCUCUCUCUCUCUCUCUCUCUCUCUCCCCCCUCUCUCUUUCCCACCCCCUGCCUGCCCCUACUCCCUACUUAACUCCCCUCCCUGUACCCAGAAUAAACUCUUUCCUAUACUAUACCUUCGUGUGGCUGGUACCUCAAGAGUACCUCAAGGAUGUCUCAAGCAUGGGCCUGCUGAAGUACCCCCUUUCCUCAUACCUCACCACACCUCCAUAGAACAUAAUCCCCUCUCUCUUUUUUUAAAGAUUUAUUUAUUUAUUAUAUAUAAGUACACUGUAGCUGUCUUCAGAUACACCAGAAGAGGGCAUCAGAUCUCUUUACAGAUGGUUGUGAGCCACCAUGUAGUUGCUGGGAAUUGAACUCAGGACCUCUGGAAGAGCGGUCGGGGCUCUUAACCACUGAGCCAUCUCUCCAGCCCCCAUAAUCCCCUCUCUUUAUCUUUUCAUAAACAUAUCAAUGUGUAUGCCAUCUGCUCUCUUGGAAUGUGCCUGCACGCAUUAGCGCGCGCGCGCACACACACACACACACACACACACACACACACACAUAUAUAUAUAUAUAUAUAUAUAUACAUAUAUAUAUAUAUAUAUUUAAUGGGAGGCAAAAGAAAAUGCCCAUUUGUGCACUAGCUUAAAUUAUUUAUUGUUUUAGAAUACGGGGGUAAAUAAAGUCACGAACAUUAGAUAUGUUUGUUUCUAGGGAAUGGGCAAAGAAAGGAGCUUGAAGGAAAAUCAGAGGGGCCAGCAUGUCUGGGGGCAUCAUGGGGAUACAAGGGGUGAGCCUCGCCCUGGGAAAACCCCUGGCUAUCUGAGAUCUCUCCUGCUGGGUCAAGCUGUCUCUUAUUCAAUUAUGUCUGUGAGAUCCAGGUCUAAUUUAUUUACUGGCAUCAAAAACAGAGCAGGCUUUCUUAUAAAGACAUUUGAAAUGUGUUCCUGGGGUUUAAUACCACCUGUCUUCCUUAGCUGGUAGUUUGGGGGCCUAUAGGAGAGGCUGGUGCGCGUGUGCAGAUAAAAUACGCGGGGUUUUUAAGCCACGCCCCCUCCCACCCCAGCCCUCAUUUCACGUGAUUACCAAGUAGAGACCAGAAUCCCUUGCUCAGCGACUAGGCUUCUGCCCUUAAGUUUUGCGAGCUGUUAGGACAAUGACGCUUAGGCAUUGUGAGCAGUUGGGACAGUGACACGUAAAACCUCCAUUAAGGUUAACCAUUCAGCCUUCAACACGUGGGGCACAUUUCACGUCCAAGGCACUGCAGAGCACACACAAGACAUGGCCGCGGUGACGUGAGCACCAUCGCCUCCAAGGUCUUGAGAUGAGAGACAAUCUGGGUGGACCCUAACUGCAUUUGCUUACAAAUACUGAGCUGUCAGGCAAAACAAGAAAGGUGGGGUGAGGAUAACAGAAAGAGACUGAAGACGUAGCCCAGAAGGUGGGAGGAAGGCACCCACAAACCUAGGAAGGCCAGCAGCAGAGCGGGCUGGAACAGGUGAAGGGGUUGGUGAGGGGCUGACCUCCUGAUUUCAGCCAACGGAGACUGACUUGCUGAACUAAGACUUCUCUAGAACUAAGAGAAUGGGUUUCUGUUGUUAGAAGUUUAAUCCCCUUGUGAGAUGUUAAUUGAAUAGAAACUUAGUCUGUCUGGGACAAGGUAAUCAGAAGAAACUCUCAGGGCUGACCCCAGAUUGUCUUAUUUUUUUUAUUUGUUUUUUAAAAGAUUUAUUUAUUUAUUAUAUAAGUACACUGUAGCUGUCUUCAGACACACCAGAAGAGGGCAUCAGAUCUCAUUAUAGAUGGUUGUGAGCCACCAUGUGGUUGCUGGGAAUUGAACUCAGGACCUCUGGAAGAGCAGUCAGUGCUCUUUUUUUUUUUUUUUUUUUUUUUUUUUUUUUUUUUUUGGUUCUUUUUUUUCGGAGCUGGGGACCGAACCCAGAGCCUUGCACUUCCUAGGUAAGUGCUCUACCACUGAGCUAAAUCCCCAGCCCCUGCAGUCAGUGCUCUUAACCACUGAGCCAUCUCUCCAGCCCAGAUUGUCUCAUUUAAACAGAGGAGCAGGAGGCUGGAAGUCACAAAAACACUCCCUGGUUCACGCUGAUUGAAACCUCUGACAACAAGAAGGCCAUUUAAAGGACACACGGUUAUCUGGGGUCUGUGAGAGACAAGGUGGCUCAAAUACCAGUCAUGGGAUGAGUUCUAAACAAUAAAUUAGUACCAGAUCUCAGGGCAUAUGAAAGUUGGGACUUUGUGGACCAGGGAGCCAAUGGCAAUAUGUAUGUAUGUAUGUAUGUAUGUAUGUAUGUAUGUAUGUAUGUAUUUAUAUUUAUUUUUAGGCGUGCACGCCUGAGCGUUCUUGUUUGUCAUGUGCACACAGUGCUGUGUAGGUCAGGUGUCCGAUGCCCUCAAACUGGAGCCUCGGGCGGUUGUGAGCCGCCAGUGGGCACUGGGAACUGAACCCAGGUCCUCUUCACGAGCAGUCCGUGCUCUUCACCACUGAGCUGUCCUUCAGUCCAACCCACCGGUGGUUUUUAAGGGAGUUAACAUCUUCGUUUGAAUUGAGAGUGUAGACCGGAGGAGGAGACAAAAGGUCUGUAAGCUUGUAACCCACCAGUAAAUCAGCACACAUGGAUGGGAAGGAGAGAGAGAAAAUAAGACUCAGAAUGCAACCAGCUGCUGGAAUAAUGUACCGUAAACUUGGGCUGUGCUCCUCUGGGACGCUACAAGAGAACACCACAAACCGUGUGGCUUAAGAGGAAGAGACGCUUACUUCCUACAGUUCUGAGGGCCGGGAAGCCCAAGGCCAGUUGCUAGCAGACCUGCGUGUGGUGAAGGCUGGUUUCUGGUUUUGCAGAUGCCCCUUUUUGCUGGGUCCUUCCGGGGCAGAAGGGGUUAAACCACCUCUGGGAUCCUUCCUAGAGGUUCUGCCCUUGUGACCAAGUCACCUCCCAAAUGUCAGUGGACGAGCUCUGCGGAGAUGAAAACACAGAACAUGGAAUUUUUGAAGAGAUGAACGAAUACAUUCCCAGACAGAUGAGAGUGACUGACCUAUAUGCAAUUUAAAAACAAGCUGUGUGUCUAAAAAUUAAAUUCAUGCGCUGACUGCUGCCCUUAUAUUGAUCUCAGAUUUUAAUGGGCACGCACCUCACCACAGGCUCUGGCUACAAUUUAGUAUGGAGAACCCAGGAAUCUGCAUCCCUAACAGGCCUCCAGAUAAAGCUGAAAGACUGAGGUUCACACUCUAGUGAGAAUUAACCAAAUCUUACCACAGUCACUGUAGUGAUUCUGUAACUCACUCCCCCCCACGCCACAGGGACAAACCCAUCAAUGAAAGAGUUCUUACUGGGAACCGGCUCUCUCCACUCUAUUCCCCUAAAAAGGUGGCAUAUCCUGUAUGAAAUGCUCUUCCAAAGAAUACAACAGAAUAAGCCUUGUCUCUCAGACCUGGCUCACUGCCGUGGUGUCCUUGGGUGAGUUAUACACACUUCCAGAGUGCCCUGCCUCCAUGGAUAAAUGUGCAGAAGUGUGAUAAUAGGCCUAAUUUGUGUGCACGCUUGUCACACACACCGGGUAAUGGACGUGUAGGGUGACAUAUGUAGAGGUGUGACCCUAACUUCCCCACUCACACAUCAGACCUAGAGUCCUCGGACAGUAUGGAUUAGAGGUAACCUGACCUGGGAAGGCCAUGCUGUGUCACAUAGGACCCCAGGGAAUCGGGUUCAUGCCUGACCCAACCCAUUUUCUCAAAGCCCAAAGCCAGAGGGUGAGCUUGUGCUUGGGUGAGCAGUCACCUGGUAAGAUAGGCAGAGCAGAUCCCAAAGACUCCCAGACAGGCUCGCAAAGCAAGACUCUGUGAGCAAACUAACCAUUAGGUGUAUUAGUGGAGUUUGAAAAUCAAGUACUCCCCAUGGGUGAGAAACUAACUGCCCUGGUAUCCAUUCUCACCCCACACUCCAGUUACCGACUGUGCGGACAAAAUGGUAGAGGGAGGGGAAAGGCAUGUUUGCCAGGCCCUGGUUUUUGCAUCCUGUCAGACUGUUGUGGCCGAGACUUCGGUCCCAGCACUAGCCAACCCUCCGUGGAUGGGUUGCUGCAUUUCUCUAAGCCUUGCUGCAUUGUCUGGAAAUAAAGAUAAUGCCAGCUGGCACCCAGAAGCACUGAGAAAUGAGAUUUGAACUCAUGAGGCAAUGCCAGGUACCAAAGAUGUCCCCAGGGAAGGUUAUUAGCGUUAAAAACUCCAUGUACCAAGCUGGCUUUCAGCUCUGUGACAACAAAAAAUAAUUGCCAUAAUUGCUAGCUCAUUGUAUUAAACAUGGUGGUUAUUCAAUAAAGCCUUUGAAGCCGGAA